ensembl:lncRNA
AAAUGACCUAAGAAUCAAUUGCCUAGCAGUGUUCCAUCUCUUCAACUUCUAUGGUGAUCUCUUUUUGAAUGAAGAGCAGCCUGGAAAAAGGACUACAACUCACAGGAUAUUAAAAAGGCACACACACAAGAAGCAGAAUCCAAUUUUAACAAGUUUGCUUUCAGCUCAUAAUAAAAACAAGAAUUACAGCAGAAACACUAUUGAUUUCCUUAUACUCCAUUGUGUCUUCAUCAAGAAUGAAGAGAUUUAUGAACAGCAAUCAGGAGAUAUUCUGCUUCUGCAGUGGAUCUCUAUGGCACAGGAGAAAAGUCACUUUUAUUUAUGUAGCAGUCCUUGCAUGGAAAAAAAAAGAAGUGGUGCUAAGAACUCCAGUAGACAGUGCUUACUGAGAAAGGUGGGGACAUUAGUGGAUUCACAUCUGACUGGAGGGUGGGACAUGUUGGAAGACUGUCAUCAGAGGUCCGGAAUCUCCUUGCUACUUCCAGUUGACAGCUCAUCUGUUAUCAUAUAA